rnacentral:rRNA from 1 species
CCUACGUGUGGCUGCAGUGGGGAAUUUUGCACAAUGGGGGAAACCCUGAUGCAGCAACGCCGCGUGAGUGAAGAAGUAUUUCGGUAUGUAAAGCUCUAUCAGCAGGGAAGAGAAUGACGGUACUUGACGACGAAGCCGCGGCGAACUACGUGCCAGCAGCCGCGGCAAUACGCAGGGGGCGAGCGUUAUACGGAUUUACUGGGUGUAAGGGGGGCGUAGUGGGUUCUGCAAGUCUGAAGUGAAAGCCCGGGGCUGAACCGCGGAACGGCUUUGGAAACAGUGGAACUGGAGUGGUGGAGAGGUAAGCGGAAUUCGUAGUGUAGCGGUGAAAUGCGUAGAUAUUAGGAGGAACCCCAGUGGCGAAGGCGGCUUGAUGGACAGUAACUGACGUUGAGGCUCGAAAGCGUGGGGAGCAAACAGGAUUAGAUACUCUUGUAGUC